rnacentral:rRNA from 1 species
UACGAAGGGUGCUAGCGUUGUUCGGAAUCACUGGGCGUAAAGCGUACGUAGGCGGUUUGGUAAGUCGAUUGUGAAAUCCCAGGGCUCAACCUUGUGAAUUGCAACCGAAACUGCCUUACUUGAGUUUGGUGGGGGAUGGCGGAAUUCCUAGUGUAGGGGUGAAAUCCGUAGAUAUUAGGAGGAAUAUCGGUGGCGAAGGCGGCCAUCUAUGCCAAUACUGACGCUAAGGUACGAAAGCGUGGGGAGCAAACAGGAUUAGAUACCCGAGUAGU